rnacentral:rRNA from 1 species
GACGGAGGAUGCAAGUGUUAUCCGGAAUCACUGGGCGUAAAGCGUCUGUAGGUGGUUUAAUAAGUCAACUGUUAAAUCUUGAGGCUCAACUUCAAAAUCGCAGUCGAAACUAUUAGACUAGAGUAUAGUAGGGGUAAAGGGAAUUUCCAGUGGAGCGGUGAAAUGCGUAGAGAUUGGAAAGAACACCAAUGGCGAAAGCACUUUACUGGGCUAUCACUGACACUGAGAGAUGAAAGCUAGGGUAGCAAAUGGG